GGAAAAGACUAAAAUAUUUAAAAUUCUAUUUCAUUUCUUUUGCAUCCUGAUCCCACAUUCUUUUUCUUUAAUGUCCAGCCCAACUAGACUAACAGAUUGAGCUUUGGACUAGCCUGUAUCCCUACUUUUACUUCUGUUUAGUCCCUUGGACUGCAAGGAGAUCCAACCAGUCAAUCCUAAAGGAUAUCAGUCCUGAAUAUUCAUUGGAAGGACAGAUGCUGAAACUGAAACUCCAGUACAUUGGCCAGCUGAUGUGAAGAAACUGACCUUGGAAAAGUCUCUGAUGCUGGGAAAGAUUGAAGGCAGGAGGAGAAGGGAAUGACAGAGGAUGAGAUAGUUGGAUGGCAUCACUGACUCAAUGGACAUGAAUCUGAACAAGCUCUAGUAGUUGGUGAUAGACAGGGAGGCCUGGUGUGCAGCAUUCCAUGAGGUCACAAAGAGUCAGACAUGACUGAGCAACUGAACUGAACUGAGUGAACUGGAGUGAAUGAAGAUAUGAUUUCAGGAAAAUACACUAUGCUAUCUCUCCAAAGCGACAUUUUUUAAUGAAGAAACAUCAGAGCUGCUAAAUACACUGGGACACAGGCAAUCCUAGUCACCAAGGAUGGCUUCCUCUUGGAAACUUAUUCUGUUUCUGUCAGUCACUGGGUGUCUUUCAGAUGAAAUGCGUUGCUGCUCAUCUUGCUCUGAG
rnacentral:lncRNA from 1 species